GCAGAGAAGCUUGCUUCUCUUGAGAGCGGCGGACGGGUGAGUAAAGCCUAGGAAUCUGCCUGGUAGUGGGGGAUAACGUUCGGAAACGGACGCUAAUACCGCAUACGUCCUACGGGAGAAAGCAGGGGACCUUCGGGCCUUGCGCUAUCAGAUGAGCCUAGGUCGGAUUAGCUAGUUGGUGAGGUAAUGGCUCACCAAGGCGACGAUCCGUAACUGGUCUGAGAGGAUGAUCAGUCACACUGGAACUGAGACACGGUCCAGACUCCUACGGGAGCCAGCAGUGGGGAAUAUUGGACAAUGGGCGAAAGCCUGAUCCAGCCAUGCCGCGUGUGUGAAGAAGGUCUUCGGAUUGUAAAGCACUUUAAGUUGGGAGGAAGGGCAUUAACCUAAUACGUUAGUGUUUUGACGUUACCGACAGAAUAAGCAC
rnacentral:rRNA from 1 species